UGGGGAAUCUUGGACAAUGGGCGCAAGCCUGAUCCAGCCAUGCCGCGUGGAUGAUGAAGGCCUUAGGGUUGUAAAAUCCUUUCGCCGAGGACGAUAAUGACGGUACUCGGAGAAGAAGCUCCGGCUAACUUCGUGCCAGCAGCCGCGGUAAUACGAAGGGGGCUAGCGUUGUUCGGAUUUACUGGGCGUAAAGCGCAUGUAGGCGGGCCGUUAAGUUAGGGGUGAAAUCCCGAGGCUCAACCUCGGAACUGCCUCUAAAACUGGCGGCCUGGACCUAAGUAGAGGCAAGUGGAAUUGCGAGUGUAGAGGUGAAAUUCGUAGAUAUUCGCAGGAACACCAGUGGCGAAGGCGACUUGCUGGACUUAUGGUGACGCUGAGAUGCGAAAGCGUGGGGAGCAAACAGGAUUAGAUACCCUUGUAGUCCCUGAGCGGGCUGGCAAGGCGCAU
rnacentral:rRNA from 1 species